GCCUUGAUAGGAUAAUAUUAUGAUCUUUGAUCACCUAAAAUGUCGUACCAACAAGGACAAGGAUACCCUCCACAACAGUAUCCACCUGGCCAGUAUCCUCCUCCUCCACAACCUGGAUAUGGUCCUCCACCACCACAAUGGCAGCAACCUCAACCACAGUAUUAUCCACCUCCACAGCCACCACCAAGAGAGGAAGACGAAUGUUGUAAAUGGUGUUGCGGAUUAACCUGUAUAUCGUUGUUAUGUUGUUGUUUGUGCAGAGACUAAAUAGUAUCCAAAAGCGUUGCAGGUAUUCAUUUUGAUGAGAGAAUAGCAUCAUUCAUAUAAUCUAUUUAAACUAUGUACUAAAUCAUACUAAAUAUAAGGAGGGUAUCAUAUAAUUUUACAAUGUAAAACUUAAAUACAAUAUAUUUUACAAUAAAAUUUAA
rnacentral:misc_RNA from 1 species